ensembl:lncRNA LINC02611 long intergenic non-protein coding RNA 2611
AGAAACCCUAAGGGAUGGAUCAAGGAGAGGAAUUGAGGAAGGACAGAGAGCAGGAGCAUAUGGACAGAGGAGAGGCAGAAGCCGGGCUCUGCAGGGCUGUGGAAGCUGGAGGAGUAGGUUGUCCCAGAGUCCCGUACCCCUGGGGAUCCAGGAAGUUACACUGAGGUGAGGCCAACUGCUCUGUGUGUGGAAGCCAGAGAAGAAAGCAGCACAGAACAGAUGCAAACCAAGGAGGCUGGAAGAUAAGAGCAGAGCCAUCAGGACACGAGCCCCUCGCGGCAUUUCAGAGCUUCCUGUGUGCAGCAUGGAUCUAAAGCUGGUGGAUGCAGGGGGGUGAACAAGACAACAUCUUCACUUCCUGCAUGCUGAUGGCAGAAGUGAGACAUCAGCGAAGAAACAUCACGAUCACCAAAUUACGAUGAACACCAUGGAGGAAACAAAGGACACUGUGACACCAAGGAAGGAAGGGAGGUUACUUUUCAUAGUGGCUGUAAAUAGAACUGAAGGCUGAAAAACAGCUGUUAAAAUGGCUUGUUUGUUUGAAGAUGAAUGAGAGUACACAAUAAAAGGUAAUUCUCCCUCCCAUCCCCAA